GAGUUUGACUUGGCUCAGAUUGAACGCUGGCGGCAGGCCUAACACAUGCAAGUCGAGCGGUAGAGAGAAGCUUGCUUCUCUUGAGAGCGGCGGACGGGUGAGUAAUGCCUAGGAAUCUGCCUGGUAGUGGGGGAUAACGCUCGGAAACGGACGCUAAUACCGCAUACGUCCUACGGGAGAAAGCAGGGGACCUUCGGGCCUUGCGCUAUCAGAUGAGCCUAGGUCGGAUUAGCUAGUUGGUGAGGUAAUGGCUCACCAAGGCGACGAUCCGUAACUGGUCUGAGAGGAUGAUCAGUCACACUGGAACUGAGACACGGUCCAGACUCCUACGGGAGGCAGCAGUGGGGAAUAUUGGACAAUGGGCGAAAGCCUGAUCCAGCCAUGCCGCGUG
rnacentral:rRNA from 1 species